GCUUCAUACCACAAUGAAGUUUUGCAGUUUCUCUUUAAAAAUAACUCAUGGAACCACUGAAGGCCAAUGUGAGAGAACUCAAGGUUCAGUUAGUCCAGGGGUUCAUAAAAUUUUCACAAACGACUGUACAGUAGAUAUUUUAGGUUAUGACCAUUCAGUCUCUGUCACAACUACUCCACUCUGCUAUUGUAGCUCUAAAGCAGCCAUGGAUAAUAUGCAAACAAAUGGGCAUGGCUAUGUUCCAAUAACACUUUAUUUAUACAAAGAGGUGGGAGGCCAGGUUUUGCUCACAGGCCAUAGUUUGCAAACCUAUGAUUUACUCCAUGCCCUAUUUUUAAAUGAAGAUUUUUAAAUCCAGAGAGAGGGAGAACUUGCUUACAAAGGUAGCGAGAAUAUUGAUAUCAGGAUCUUCAUAUUUCAAAGUUCUCACAGUUGAAAAAUGGGAACAACAGAAUUCAAACUUAGAUUUCCUAACACCAAAUCUAGCAUUAUCCCUGACACACUGUGUAGCUUUGGAUGAGCACAUUUGGUCAAACCAGGUGUGUUCCUUGCUUUAACUUUAAUUAUCUCUGGUCCCAGAAUUCGGGGGAAAAAAGAGAAAAGCAACUUCCCCAAAUAAUAUUUUCUUGGUUUCAAAAUGACUGACUCCAGGUAGAUUUUUCCAGGUUUGUGUUCAUUUCCUUGCCCCCAUCAAAAACUACUGACAUUAAAAAUAAUCUCUUGGGACAAACUGAGAGAGUAGCAUAGACAUAUUUACACUAUCAAUUGUAAAAUAGAUAGCUAGUGGGAAGUUGCUGUAUAACAAAGGGAGAUCAACUCGAUGAUGGGUGAUGCCUUAGAGGGCCAAGACAGGGAGGGUGAGAGAGAGUCCCGGGAGGGAGGGGAUAUGGCGAUAUAUGUAUAAAUACAGCUGAUUCACUUUGGUGUACCUCAAAAGCUGGUACAAGAGUGUAAAGCAAUUAUAUUCCAAUAAAGAGCUUAACAAAUUAUCUCUAAUGAAGUAUCACUUGGAAUUCUGUAUGAUUGGUUUGUUUACGAUUGUAUUUCCCACAAUUGUGAGUCUGAAUUUAAAAAUAAUGAGUACCUUAUAUGCUUCUCUUUCAACAUCAACAAGAGAAUAUUCUGAAUAUUCAGUAUGAGACAAUUUCUGAUUUCACAUUAGCUACUGCCACUAAACUAUCCUCUCAUAUCACAUUUCUUUUGCUAAAUAUGACCAGUUAGGGCAUCAGGCAGUGAACCCCGAGAGCUAGGGAAACUCACUCUUAUCAUCACUGAGUUUCAACUUGAACUGAAAGAUACAGGAAAAAAACAACACAAAUUCAAUCUUACUUGCCACCAGUAAUUAACUGUAUGAUAUUAAGUGAUUUGCUUAUUCUAUCUCAAUCCUCCUAACUCUGAAGCUAAAAUUUACUGCGUACUUCCUACGUGUCAAUCAUUGUACAACAGAUAUACGUAGAUAUACAUUAUUCUUACAUCAUUCUCACAACAAUUCAGCACAUAUAUUGAAUACUUAAUACAUAUUGGCCAUUAUUAUUUUAAUUGCGUGGAACAGAUACUAUUAUUAUUUCCAUUUUAUAGAAGAGGUAGCUGAGGCACACAGAGGCAAGACCCCCCAUCCAAGGUCUCUUGGUGACAGAUCGGAAUGCUAACUAGCAGUAUGAUAUAGCUGUCAACAUAUUGGGCUUCGCUGGAUAUGCCUGGAAUAUUAUGUUAAAUCCUUUAGGAACGGGGAAGAAUUCAGAAUGAGAAAUGGUGCAAAUGACUGAAACAGAUUGGAACAGAAUGAAUGAAGUACCUGGGGAUGUUUUGCUCUUGGAAAAGGACAUAGGGAGCUACAGAGAAGGACAAGAAAGCUUUCUCCAAAUAUUUGAAGACUGUGUGCAAGAAGAAAAAUAUCCUCAGUUCUUCUGGGAGAAGUAAAAUAUGUUGACUUUGCUCAGUGGUUUGAAGGAACAUACUCAUCCUAUUAGCAGUGACAUCUCAGAAAAAUAAAACCCUAAGAAUAAGGAUCCUAUAGGCUUGAUUAGAGGUGUUCCAGUGCAAAUUAGACGACUUCUUGGCAGGCAUGACAUAAAGGGGACUGAGACAUAGUACAGAUGGUUACACCAGGUGCAGUCUGGAUUUGGAGGCUAUACUUCAAGGAAAAAGAAACAGAAACCUCUUUUUAAAUCCUGUGUGCUCAGUAGGAACUGAACAAAACAACUCCCAGAAAGGAACAUUCAUAGGUCAUUUUCUUUUUUGUUUCCAGGAAGCACUUAGUAGGGACCCAACAAAGUAAUUUCUAAGAAAAUACCCAAGCUCUUGCC